GGAGGUUUGUAUCGAUUUGAUGAGGGAGGGGGAGGAGGUUUGUAUCGAUUUGAUGAGGGAUGGGGAGGAGGUUUGUAUCGAUUUGAUGAGGGAUGGGGAGGAGGUUUGUAUCGAUUUGAUGAGGGAUGGGGAGGAGGUUUGUAUCGAUUUGAUGAGGGAUGGGGAGGUUUGUAACGCAAACAUUUUGUGGUUUCGGAGAAAAAGAAAGAAGAAAAAAAUUAAUGAAAAAUUAUUAUUGAAAACUGGAAAGCAAUGUUUAUAGAAAGGUUUUGUUUUGUGCAAUUAAAAUAUCAUUGUUUAAACACAAUAGGCUAACUGAUUUCUUAAACGUAAAUAUCUUGUGUCAUGGAUGAGGAAAUUGCUGAUUAAAUGUUUUUGUUUCA